UUGUGUUUCAAUGGGGAGUGUCCACUUUCAGUUUUUAGCUCAUUUCAAGUUACUUCCACGACGUUACAUAUAGAAGCUGAUAUCCGUUUUGUCAUUGAAGUUUGUUUUGAUGAUUGUUAUUACUAGUGGUGGCUUUUGCAUCUGUGCACAAAACAUUAUGUUCUUGUAUACAGAAAGAAAGCUUCAGACAACUCCUCCGGUCUCCUGACACAGUGAAGGAGCUGCAUCACAUUCUGGAACCAGAGCAUCUGAAGGCUCCAAGCAGCUCACCUGGGAGGCAGUCCUCAGGCAGGAGAGACACUUGCCGGUGGUGGAGCACUAGGUCUGCUGCCAUGAACUGCCGUAUGAGGGUGUGUCGUCUGGGUGAGGAGCUCCUGCCCUCUGUGCUCUAUGUAUGGAAACAGAUGAGGCCCAGCAGCACUCUCAAAGAGGAGAUAGAGUUUUUCAACCUGCAGCUCUGUGUACAUCAUCUCAAGGGUCAAAGACACAAGACACAGGAGCCUAUGCUGAGGACUGGGCCAAAUGGCAGAGUCUACUCUAUAACCUCUAUGAUGCCCUGGUGACUGAGAUCAGCCAGAUUGGGAGCCGGGAGAAAUAUGCCACAGGGUUGCGCCACAUUGCUGUGAAGGAGAACCUUAUUGAGCUAACUGGAGACAUCAGAUGAUAAAUCUAAGAUUCUUAAUUUUCACAUCUUGACUUAAUUUACCAUUUCCAGGCUAAAACCUGAGCUGUGCUGACAUAGUUCACCUGUCUUUAAGAUGGUUUUGGUAUUGUUGGUCUCAUCUUCAUGUUUUGGGUGUUUGACUGUUUCUUAGCUCUAUAGCGAAGAUUGUAACCUUCAGAUUCUGGAUGUGACUCAGGCCCACCUCAGAGCCACCCAGAGAGGAAGUCCCCAGGGCACGCCCAGCAAGUGCAGACACAUCGAGCUGGGCUGUGAGGUUCCCCCGAGACCACCUGCAGCCACACCAUCAUACCAUGUGUUGCUGAUCUGUGUUUGGCCCAGGCCCUUCUCAAGGUCCUGUUCCUAAGCUUGGGCACUGGGUGGGACCAUGCAGGGCCGUGGAGGGGGUCGGGCCCCCCAGCAUCAAGGAGAACAUCAUGAGCUGGCUGCUGAUGAACGAACAGAGUGAAGAGGCAGAGGAGAGAUCAAGACCACACCCCAUCAUCUGCAGUGGGCAGUUUAUCACUGGGCUCAUAUCUCAUUUUUAUUCACGCUUAACCGCUCUGCUAGUGUUGUCUAAUUGGGAUUAUUUUGCCUUGAUACAAUGUUUUAUGUCUGUAAUUGUUUUAACACAUCCCUAAUGCAAGUUUGUGUCUUAUCUUAUUCCUCUUUGCCCAGGGAUUUUCCUCACAACCUAAUCCGCAGAAUCCUUGUGCCUUUGACCCUCAAAGACACCCGAGCUGGCAUUAUGUUUCUUCUCGGAGCAAAGAAACUUGAGAGGCUGUUCUUGGAGCUGACACCGGACAGCUUGGAGAAGAGAAAGAUGCUUCCUCUGAAAUGCCAGCAGACAGCCUUUGAGAACGUCUACCUGAAAGCCUAAGAAGGGAUGAGGCUCCAGAAGAGCAGCUCUCCUGAAUACCUGAAUGACGAGACAUUUAACCGCAAGGCCACGCUGCUGAAGAAUGUGUCGGUGGUGCUGUGCUGCAGCCCUGUCUGUGAGAAGCAGUCCCUCUUAGCCCUCUUACAGUCCAACAAGGAGAACAACAUAGAGGAGCCGCUCAUCAAAGAGCUAAGGGCAAAUCAUUUGGCUACACGUAUUUACAGUCUCAUAAAUGAUUUAUUGUAUUAAUGUUUCUUAAACUGAAAGCACUUUAUAGUGUAGGUGGAUAACUCAGCCUUUCCACCGUCACUACAUACAGUAUCGCUGUCUGACCAUUAUCAGUAUGCUAUGAUAUUGACAGACUGAAUGUUAACCUGGUUUGUCCCUCACCCCAUGUAGAUCCUGGGCAGUGAGUCCAGAGUUCUGGGCUACAGAAGUGUGGAGGGGUUUGUUAGCUCUCACCUGGAUUACCUGGUGGCAGAGGGGCUGGGCUAGCCUGGCUAUACCCUGGAGUCCCUCCCCUACACUCUGCUCAAUCACCCCGCUCUCUUCUACAGGUGUGAGUGUUGACGAGGACAAGGCUGUGAGUGUUGACGAGGACAAGGCUGGAGAUCACUCUGUCAUGCUGAUUGAGUUCAAAUAACAGAUUGGAAGCUUCAAAAAGAGGGUGGUGCUUGGAAUCAUUGUUCGCCCUCUGUCAACCAUGGUUACCUGCAAGGAAACACGUGCCCUCAUCAUUGCUUUGUACAAAAAGGGCUUCACAGGCAAGGAUAUUGCUGCCAGUAAGAUUGCACCUAAAUCAACCAUUUAUCGGAUCAUAAAGAACUUCAAGGAGAGCGGUUCAAUUGUUGUGAAAAAGGCUUCAGGGCGCCCAAGAAAGUCCAGCAAGCGCCAGGACCGUCUCCUAAAGUUGAUUCAGCUGCGGGAUCGGGGCACCACCAGUACAGUGCUUGCUCAGGAAUGGCAGCAGGUAGGUGUGAGUGCAUCUGCACGCACAGUGAGGCAAAGACUUUUGGAGGAUGGCCUGGUGUCAAGAAGGGCAGCAAAGAAGCCACUUCUCUCCAGGAAAAGCAUCAGGGACAGACUGAUAUUCUGCAAAGGGUACAGGGAUUGGACUGCUGAGGAUGGGGGUAAGGUCAUUUUCUCUGAUGAAUCCCCUUUCCAAUUGUUUUGGGCAUCUGGACAAAAGCUUGUCUGGAGAAGACAAGGUGAGCGUUACCAUCAGUCCUGUGUCAUGCCAAGAGUAAAGCAUCCGGAGACCAUUCAUGUGUGGAGUUGCUUCUCAGCCAAGGGAGUGGGCUCACUCACAAUUUUGCCUAAGAACACAACCAUGAAUAAAGAAUGGUACCAACACAUUCUCCGAGAGCAAAUUUUCCCAACCAUCCAGGAACAGUUUGGUGACGAACAAUGCCUUUUCCAGCAAGAUGGAACAUCUUGCCAUAAGGCAAAAGUGAUAACUAAGUGGCUCAGGGAACAAAACAUCGAUAUUUUGGGUCCAUGGCCAGGAAACUCCCCAGACCUUAAUCCCACUGAGAAUUUGCGGUCAAUCCUCAAGAGGCGGUUGGACAAACAAAAAACCUACAAAUUCUGACAAACUCCAAGCAUUGAUUAUGCAAGAAUGGGCUGCCAUCAGUCAGGAAGUGGCCCAGAAGUUAAUUGACAGCAUGCCAGGGCGGAUUGCAGAGGUCUUGAAAAAGAAGGGUUGGGAUUCAAUCUUGCAACCUUUCGGUCACCAACGCUCGAACCACUAGGCUACCUGUCGCCCAAAUACAGGUGUGCCAAGAUUUUAGCAUCAUACCCAAGAAGACUCGAGGCUGUAAUUGCUGCCAAAGGUGCUUCAACAAAGUACUGAGUAAAGGUUCUGAAUGCUUAUGUAAAUGUCACAUUUCAGUUUUAGAUUUUUUAUACAUUUGCAAAAAUGUUGCUUUGUCAUUACAGGGUAUUGUGUGUAGAUUGAUGAGAUGAAAACACUAAUACGUUUUAGAAUAAGGCCAUAACGUAACCAAAUGAGGAAAAAGUAAUGGGGUCUGAAUACUUUCCGAAUGCACUGUAUAAAUUAGGAUUGGGAUCCAGUCCUUUUCACUUCAUCCCCUGAAUUGGCUGAAUUAAAAUGGAAUUGGCCCAACCCUGGUGCCAUGUCUGCCAACCCUUGCAGGGUGCGCUAACUACAACCAGCAGCAGCCAAGUGAACCUGCAGUAGAAGCUGUAAAAGCAGUCAGUAUCACUGUUGGACUCCACAGCAAAUCUACUGCCUGAUUCACAGUAACCUGGCGGACAUUGUGGUGGAGCUGUUGAUGACCCUGUAUGAUGGGGCUGCUACUGAGGAGGGCAGAGGGGACCUUGAGGAGGUGCAUAGGAUAAUGUUCAUUACACAUCACUCCUUACCACUCCACAACCACACUUACUUGUAUUCACAACCUUUCAUUGUCUGUGAUGAUAUGUUCUAUGUUCUCUCUAGGGAACUGGACCCAGCCCCAAUCCCACCCUCUUUCAGCUCCAAUGUUAUCAAAGCCACACUGGACUACUUCAGCAAAUGUCACAGUGCCAGCCACUAGUCGUCCCUGGUGGCCAUUUUAUCCAGGACACUGAUCUCCAUCCAGAGGAUCCUGCUGGCGGUGUGUCAGAAGGCAGCUGAGACGAUCAAUGCCUACGAGAGGAUCCCAGGGCAGUGAUUGGGGACAUUAGCCUGUGUAGUGUUUUCCUGACUCUCUAUGGUCACUAAAAGAUCCCAUGGAAUGUACGAGUAGGGGUGUUAACCCUGGUGUCCUGGCUAAAUUCCCAAUCUGGUUCUCAUACCCUCAUGGCCACCUAAUCAUCCCCUGCUUCCAAUUGGCUCAUUCAUCCCCACUCCUUUCCCAUUUAACUAUUCCCCAGGUCGUUGCUGUAAAUGAUGUGUUCUCAGUCAACUUAUCUGGUAAAAUAAGGGUUAAAUCAAAUAAAACACAACCACUUUCC